CAUUAGCAACUCCGCUGGAAAGUUGAUAGUUAAUAGCGGAAUGAGUAGCACCUGUAGAUGUUGAUGGAGCAGAAGCAAUGUUGAUAGGUAAACCUCGAUGUGCUACAGAAUUAGCAACUCCGUUGGGAAUCUGAUAGUUAAAAGCAGAAUGAUGAGUAGCACUAGUAGAUGUUGAUGGAGCAGAAGCAAUGUUGAUAGGUAAACCUCGAUGUGCUACAG
rnacentral:misc_RNA from 1 species